rnacentral:rRNA from 1 species
AUGCCACUGCUACAGCUGCCGACCGCGUGUGGCGCCGCUGCGGCGUCGUCGGCGCCGGGCCCCUUCUCGCUCUCGCGGCCGCCGCCCUCGCGGCUGCGCGCGUCGCACGUCCUCUUCGCCUUCCCUCGCCUGAGGAAAUACGGCCGCCGGAACCGCGAGCCGGUACCCACCACCCUCGACGACGACGAGGACGAGGCCGAUGAGGACGACGACGACGACGUGGAGGAGGCGGUUGACGAGGACAUCUUUCUCAAGAACCGGCCCAAGCCGGCCGGGUUCGGCGUGGGGAAGACCUACACCACCGACGUCGAAGAGCAGCUUCUCCGGGAGAUGGGCAUCGGCGGCGCCGGGCGCAAGAGCAAAUCGGCUGCGCCCAAGAACCUCAAAGCCAACGGCUCGGACACAGAAACCGGCGCAGGUGCUAUGGAAGAUUCUGAAGAAAGUAUUGUUGAACAUGAGCCUGAUUUUCUUGAUGAAUUUCCUGUUGUCACAGAUCGCAGUAAUGAUGGCGUUCAUGUUCGUAUUUGGAACCUCCCGAAAAAGAAGAACAUACAUAAGGACCUGAACCUAGCUUUCAAAGGGUUUCCUGGCCUGGUAACUAUAAAUCCAGCAAACUCUGGAACUAAGAAGACCCGUGAUCCUAUUUGUAAGGGCUUUGCAUUUGUCAAACUGGAGUCAGUGGAUGCUGCAACGAGGUUCGUUGAACUGUACUCUCGUAAAGCUGUGUCGUUCGGUAAGGUUGAGAAGCCAAUCAAGUGCUGUAUUGUUGAAGGGCACGUCUCGACGGAUCCUUCAGGUCCAGCAUCCAGUAGUCAGCCACCAGGGUCGAACCCACAACGGUUGGUAGCCGUAAGAUGA